rnacentral:lncRNA from 1 species
AUCAAAUCUGUGAUUUUGAUUAAGGAGAGGAGAAAAAGUGAAAACUAAUACUCACUGUAUGCUUUUUAAUACCACUUGAGGAUUUGCAUCCUGCUAGACAAGGUGACAGGUUGAUGACAUCUUGCAAUUGCUAUUGUCCAGGAGUCAGUCAUGACACUGUUCGCAUUGCCUGAUCUUGUGUGCACUUGGUGGCUUUUCAGAUUUCAUGACUGGACAGCUGUCAUCAUUGGACAUUUAACUCCUCAGACCAUUUAAUAACUGUUCAUGGAAGAAAUAUGAAUCCUCACUGUUGUCUGAAAAUGUUGGAAUCAUCUAAUGAGGUCAAGAAAGCCUCAGAAAUAAAAUUUAAGCAGCUGGCAAAAAAUACUUAGAGACAAUAAAGGAGCUUCCAUCCACAGCACCCUAACUACCCAGGAACCUGCAUUUGCAACUCUCCAGACAGCACAGAGGAUGAAAAACUAUGCAAAAUGAAAAUCUGAGUUUAAGAGUAACCCAGAAAUAUUGGACUCUAAAUGUUAGAAAUCAUUUAACCAUUUUAUUUCAACUAUAUUUCCCUUAAAGUAUGUAUAAGAGUAAUGUGUAAAUGCUAUAUCUCAAAUGUCAAUGAGUUAUUUUAGUAGGUAGAAAAUAUACAGUUUAAGUAACAGGAAUGCAUCCAUGAGAUAUCAGCAAGAUACCAGAAUAAGAAGGACAGAUACCUUUUUCUCCAUGAACAUACUGAUUCAACAGUAAUAUUCAGAUCAAUUUCAUUUGUGAGAAAUACAGAAGCUAACUGAGAGAUUGCUAUACAUCAGGAAAGUACAAAACCAGAUACAUAAAAACCAGUAAGAUAAUUGGAGACAUCCUCUUGCCAUUCUCCUCCUCAGUAUUAUACCAUACAAUUGGGAAAAACUAGCAGUUUAAACUGGCAUGUGAACACUUGACACAGCUCUUCCCUCUGGCUUAACACAGAGCGAAUGUGUGAGAGAAAAAGAAAAAAACAAAAAAUGUGGCAAUUCCUCAAGGAUCUAGAACCAGAAAUGCCAUUUGAUCCAGCAAUCCCUUUACUGGGUAUAUACCCAAAGGAAUAUAAAUCAUUAUAUUAUAAAGAUACAUGCACAUGUAUGUUUAUUGCAGCAUUAUUUACAAUAGCAAAAUCAUGGAACCAACCCAAAUACCCAUCAAUGAUAGACUGUAUAAGGCAAAUGUGGUACAUAUACACCAUGGAAUACUAUGCAGCCAUAAAAAGGAAGGAGAUAAUGUCCUUUGCAGGGACAUGUAUGAAGCUGAAAGCCAUUAUCUUCAGCAAACUAACACAGAAACAGAAAAUCAAACACUGCAUGUUCUCACAAGAAGGAGCUGAACACUGAGAAGACAUAAACACAAAGAGGGGAACAAUACACACUGGGGCCUGUCAUGGGGGCAGAAGGAGGGAGAGCAUCAGGACAAAUAGCUAAUGCAUGUGGGACUUAAUACCUAGGUGAUGGGUUGAUAGGUGCAGCAAACCACCAUUGCACAUGUUUACCUAUGUAACAAACCUGUACAUUCUGCACAUGUAUCCUGGAA